rnacentral:rRNA from 1 species
ACUCCUACGGGAGGCAGCAGUGGGGAAUCUUAGACAAUGGGCGCAAGCCUGAUCUAGCCAUGCCGCGUGAGUGACGAAGGCCUUAGGGUCGUAAAGCUCUUUCGCCAGGGAAGAUAAUGACGGUACCUGGUAAAGAAACCCCGGCUAACUCCGUGCCAGCAGCCGCGGUAAUACGGAGGGGUUAGCGUUGUUCGGAAUUACUGGGCGUAAAGCGCGCGUAGGCGGAUUAGAAAGUUGGGGGUGAAAUCCCAGGGCUCAACCCUGGAACUGCCUCCAAAACUACUAGUCUAGAGUUCGAGAGAGGUGAGUGGAAUUCCGAGUGUAGAGGUGAAAUUCGUAGAUAUUCGGAGGAACACCAGUGGCGAAGGCGGCUCACUGGCUCGAUACUGACGCUGAGGUGCGAAAGUGUGGGGAGCAAACAGGAUUAGAUACCCUGGUAGGCUCUGC